GGGGUUAUAUCUCAGUGGUAGAGCAUUCGGCUGCAGAUCGAGAGGUCUCCGGUUCGAUUUCGGGUGUCCCCU